rnacentral:rRNA from 1 species
UGAGGAACAUGACCUUCGGCGGGGGAUAGCCGGCCUAACGGCAGGGUAAUACCGCGUACGACCAUUUGAGGACAUCCUCGAAUGGUGAAAGCAGCAAUGCGCCGAUGGAGUGCCUCGCGGCCUAUCAGCUAGUUGGUGUGGGUAAUGGCCCACCAAGGCGACGACGGGUAGCCGGCCUGAGAGGGCGACCGGCCACACUGGGACUGAGACACGGCCCAGACUCCUACGGGAGCAG